CACGGAAAUACCUGGCUCUGACUACAAGCCAUCCCGACUAAAACAGCCCGCGGAUUGCGACCCCGAAAUAGAGGCUUACCGAAUACUAAAAUUGGAUACAAAGAAACAGAAGAUUGAAAUCAUAUAGAUAAGAUUGCUAAUUCACCAAGGAGAAGAAAAAGAAGAAGAUGAAGGGA
rnacentral:lncRNA from 1 species